rnacentral:rRNA from 1 species
GAAAGAAUGGGUCUCAUCCGGCCUAGUUCUUCUCCGUGGGGUUGUGGUGUUCUUUUUGUGAAGAAGAAGGAUGGAACGAACCGACUUUGUGUUGAUUACCGUCCAUUGAACAAGAAGACCAUCAAGAACAAAUACCCACUUCCCAACAUCAACGAGCUGUUCGAACAACUCAAAGGCGCCCAAGUAUUCUCCAAGCUUGAUCUCCGUAUGGGUCAUCAUCAGAUUCGAAUCCGUGAGCAAGAUAUUCCCAAGACGGCUUUCAGGACAAGCUAUGGUUCUUAUGAAUACACUGUCAUGUCUUUUGGCCUCGUCAACGCUCCUCUG